CACCACCUUUCCGACGUGCUGACCCCACAUGGCAGUGACUGGCCAACGCAGGGACCGCCGAGCCCGUCGGUCCGCACCGAGCUUUGCACCCGCCGGUCCGGUCCCUGAAAAGAGGACCGCGGCACUGCUCGGUCCGGUCCGGUCCGGACCGCCGCCGGCCGGUCCAAACAGCAGCUCGGUCAAGGACCGGACCGGCCCGGACCGUGUCCACCCUGAGACGGAGUGCAGCUAGUCAUAUAUAGUAUCUAGCAUUAUAGCUUGUUCUAUGUACGUACGUUGUGGUGGUGAGUAACAUGCAGCAGCAGCUAAUCACCCUUCCAACGCCUCUCUUCCCGUAGUAAUUGGACACGCCCUUGGUUUGAAACUUCAGAUUGAAAUUGUAUGUGGGGACUGGGUUGGAUGGGUUUGGCUUGAAAAUACGUACAGUUUGGAUUGGUUUGGAUUAUAGCAUUUGCAGUUUGGUCUGGUCUGGUCUGAUUGUUGGACUUAUACUUGUAUGGAUUGGGCUGGGUUUAAUCUGGAUUACAAACUAUUCCCAGGUUUAACCAUGCAUAACAGGCCAUGACAAGAAAAUCUUUUUGUUUACUAAGACACAGCACAGCCCACUCCUACUACUCCACGCCAACCAGAUCAUUGUUGUUGGGGUUGAUCAAAUUGCACCAUGACCCCGGAACCAGGCGUUCCAAAUGCCUGUGACCCAGGCUUGCAGUUCACCAGCCGGCAUGUAGAAAUGGUACAGGCAGCGCUGGAAGACCUGGCACAGAGAAAGGAAAACACCUGUGGCGCUGGGGAACUGCAAUGGAAUGCAAAUGAGGUAUGUCACCACAUAGUAGUCGUAUCGUUCGAUAAUGUAUCUUCGCAGCUAGAGCUGGUGCAAUAUAAUUACGGAAGAACGGAAGUAAGGCAGAAACAGAAGCUAGAUUGCCAUACCAGGGGCAGAUAGGUGAUUUUUUUUGCGAGGAUGGAAGAGACAGGUGCUUACGACGCGUUUGGUUCACGAUAUUCUCACUGUCUUCCGAAUACACCGUCUCACGAUUACGUUACCAGCGUUUGUUUCGGCCACUUCGGUUUCAGCUCCCGUGUAAUCGGAAAACAUCUUUCACAAAACCGAAAACACCCGAUACAGCCUGGUAUCCAAUACCGCGCAUCCUGAUCGUUUUCUUUCUGAUCGUUUUCUUCACCAUGAGGACGAAGGAGCAGCGACGAUGAUCUCCCUCGCCAUGAGCAGUACCAUCGCCGUCCCUCUGUUUGCCUUCGCCGCCGAGCGCCGCCGAUCUCCAUUUUUCUCCGCCACUCGAGUUUCGCUGAUAUCCAUUCGCCUCCGCCGCUGAGCGCCGCUGAUAUCCAUUCGCCUCCGCCGCCGAGCGCGGCCGAUCUCCAUCGCCUCCGCCAUCGUGGACGGCGCCGCCGAUCUCUCUUCGCCGCAGCCGUGGGCAGCGCCGCCGUGAGAAGUAGCAAUUGUUGUGAAUGGCCAGUGAUCUCAUUUACUGUCACGAGCCAUCGGAGCAGUCGUUCGUCCUCCAAUCGUCCGGCAUCGGUCAACAAGGCUGAUGAUGGUAUUCCACGGCUUUCUACUCCCUUGCGUGAACCAAACACAUCUCGUAUUCAACUACCUCUAAUCUAAUACUGUGUAUUCUCAUUACAAUAGUGAAUACGAUUACCUGAGUUCCAACCAAACGCGUCGUUAGUUGCUUACCAGCAUAAGAUUGUCUUUGAUGAUUCUUGCGUAUGUUAAGUCAGGAAGCGUUCCUCCUCCUUGAUGAGGAGCCGCGUUUGGUUUAUAUUGAUGUGUGGCAAAUAGCCAUGCCUUGGCGUACAAGACGAGAGACCCAUCGUAUGAGAUCAGGUCGGUACAGAGGAUAACUACGAGAGAGAGAAAGAGAGGAUAUGUUGGUUGAGAUUACAAAGUGGAGAUAAGGAAAACUUAAACAUAACUUUCUAACACCCACGCCAAAUCGCACCACCGGAUACACACCAUUUUUUAUGGUGUAUGGCGCAGAGGCAGUUCUGCCCUGCGACAUAAUUCAUGACUCACCUAGAGUGCGCAUGUACGAAGAAAGAGAAGCCGAGCUUGAUCGGCAGGACAACUUGGACGCCCUGGAGGAAGAGCGCGACGUGGCAAAAGCCCAUUUCGCAUUUUAUCAACAGCAGGCCCGAAGAUAUCAAAGCAGAGAAGUACAGGCCAAAAAUUACAAUGUUGGCGAACUAGUUCUACGCCUGCCGGAUAAGAAAAAGGACAAACUCAAGACCAAGUGGGAAGGUCCAUUCAUAAUCGACCAAGUCCUGACUGGCGGGGCGUACUGCCUGCGAGAUGCGUCGGAUAACCGACUCGAGCCGAACCCGUGGAACGCCACCCGUCUCCGAAGAUUCUAUGCCUAGCGCCGGACUCUGUGUUCGUCUCCUUCCUCUGUCCAUUUUUUUUGCAUUUUUCUGUCUUACAUUUCUCUCCUUCCCCUCUUUUCUUUUAUAGCCCUUAAAGGCUUAUCUAGUGACGCGCCACUCGCGCUCAUUAAACCUGGGGGCUUCUUUAACAGAAGCUUAUUUAUAUGGGCUUCACGCCCAACACAUGCGUCAAACUUCCGCAUGUACCUUUUUCUUCACCAUUAUAUGCAUCGAUAUGACUUAAGUUUUGGCCAAGCUGGGUUGCCUGGCUCCUGUGCUUACCCCUACGUUCCCGAUUGUUCGGCUAGGUGGUAAAGGGAGCACCUCUGCGAUUGUUACUGCCGGGUCAGCCGGAUGUGUACCUCAGACUGGGUGAAGCCGAAAGCUAGCGUUCUUAAGGGAAUGUUCGGUCGGUGAGAUAUAAGAUGAUCUUUUUUAUAUGCGCCCCUAGAUGCUUUUUUCUGCGUCUUUUUAUGCAGUCCGGACAUGCACUUUAGGGCAUGCCUCCCAGCGAAAGAAACCCCUAACGGAACUAUUCUCUCUGGAAGAUGUUUCUUACUAACCAUGUAAUAUAACAUAACUAGUUGGGCACUUGUCUGAUAAAGCACUAAUGACCCCUACGCCUGGUCUCCACGCAUACCACGGUUCUUAUAUAACCGCUAUGGUAUUCGGACACACUCCGGACCGUCAAGUCCCGAGGUCGAAGCGAAAAGGUCGGCAACGACAAACGAUCUACAAUCCGGCUAGAAGGCAUUACACAUGUCAAUUCAAAAUUACAUAGUCAUCCUGACUGAUUGUAUUCCUCUUCUAUACCAUCUAACAGGCUGUCUAAUUUACAGUCCUGCUGGGAAUACUUCGCGGCCAACUCUACUUGGCCGUAUACUAAGCUCACAGGGAUCUCCUUCCCGUCAGGCCCCACUGGUCCGACCUCGGCCAUUGGUUUGGGUCAGACUUCGUAAAACGGGUCUUCACCAUGGCCCAGGCUUCCCUAGCUCCUUGUCGGCAGGUCGAUAUCUUCCACAAACGGAAGCGCCGCCGAGCUCCCUUCAGCUUCUCCGCAAGCUCUCCAAGUCCCUCGGGCAUGGAGUGGGCAGGCCAUAAGGCUUGGGCAACACCUCGCAUCGCCUGCCGAAUUCGCUCGUGCAGUUGCAUGAGUUCGGGAAAAAGGUCACCCAUAGAACCGGGCAUCUCCUCUGCAGGACGACCUGUGAGCAUACCUACAGACAUUACUCUGUUAGUCUACUUCUUCGCCGAACUCUUUUUUCAAAGUUCGUUCAAGCACUUACGAAAAAUGCCGCGUCGAAGCCGCUGAUUCUCCUUCGUGGAGUCCGACAGCUGGCCACGAACAUCUUUAAGUUCGACGUCCAGCUUGGUGUUGGCAUCCUGAAGAUCAUUCUUCUCUCGCCUCACCCUUGUCAACAUACUCUCACCGGCCUUUAGCUUGCGUAAGAGUUGUUGUUUCUCCGGAUCGAGUCCGGCGCCAUCUGCAAUAUGAUUUGUCAGAUAUACACCCAUACCGCACAAUACUAAUCUUUCGAAGUGUAUCUUACCUGAGGGGGUCUCUUUGGACUCCCCUGCUGCGGCUAGUGCGGCCUCUAGUUGGGCCCUGCACUUUUCCAGCUCCUGGGACAGUACAGUAUUCUUCUCUGUAAGAACCUGCAUAUUAAAAGAUCCUUAAAUCAGUUGCUCUAAUUGUUUCAAGUCUCGGGGGCUACUAGUAUAUAUAUAUUUGACCAAAAUUUUCUUACCCGUAUGUCUUUUACAUACUGCUCCGUGGCUCUGGCUAAACCAUUUUGAGCGGCACGGAGGUACGCAUCUCCCGAAUUAAAGGCAUCUAAAGCCUCUUGGGAGAAACAAGCGUCGCGUAGAACUGUCCGGCGACGCCUGUGGUUCAUGGCACUCUCCACUUCAGAAUUUGUGGCAGACAGCUUGUCCUCAUCCUCUGUCGGAGGAGCGUCCGGUACGUGCCUUGUGCUCGCCUCCGCUUCCUGGCCAGCCGUUGGAGCCUGGCUGGUGGAGGCGCGAUUGGCAACCUCUUCGGAUGUAGUCCGGCGAGGUCUCUUCGUUCUGAAGAUAGCACGAACGUUAAUAUGCCCUGACAGAAUAACACCAGGGAAACAGAGGGUGCGCUAUACCUUUGCGCCGGCAUCUCAGUCCGGACUUCAUUCCUUUUUGCCCCACGGGGCCCUGCGGCCCCUCGUUGGCUGGCCGCCGCAGGUUCGGCCUACUGCCUUGGAAAACUCCCCAGCAAAACACGGUUGUCGUCAGAAACACCGGAAUAUGCGAGAGUGCAAUCUCUCACGAGGGAAUGAGACUCCGGCUUCUGUCACCUCGGAGGCCGGGAUUAACCCUGGGUAAUCAGCCGUGAUGGCUACCAAGGUAUUGUCCUUGCUUAGCUGAUGGAACACCCCGUCGAUAAGCUCCACCGAUAUGUCCGGAUCCUCUUCGGAGUUCGGAUCGAGGGACCGUUCUGGGUCCUCGGGUUGUGGAGGGCGGCUGUUUAUAUCCUUUACCUCCUGUCGCAGUUCCUGCACUGAGGUCGUUAGACUACAUAUCUAACCGUGGGAGUAUAGAACAAACAGGCAAGCGCAAUUAUUCACUUACCCAACUUGGAGGAUCGUACAUAGUAAAUCCGGCCUGCAGAUUGACGCGGAGGAAUUCCUCCUUUUCUCCCUUAUACAAAGAGGAUAAGAUCUUUACUAAGGCGACGGCUGAGUCCGGCCCCUUACGACCGUAACGUGUGGCGUCAUCCUCCCCGUUGAAAUCCCACAUGGGGUGGACUCUAUAUUGAAGCGGCUGCACCCCCCGCAUAAUGCAUGCGACCAUGACUCCAAUCAUGGUUUGUCCGGAAUGAGCCAACAGUCUUAUCCGGCCCAUCAGGUAAAGGACGUCUCUGUCACUUUCUCUUUGAGAGCUCCGCGGACGCCGGCUCAAGCGUUUCUUCAAUGGAGCACUGUUGAACUCAGGGAGACCGACCCGGAUAGGGUCCGGUAGCGGGACGUCAUCUAUGUAAAACCAUUCUGAAGGCCAGUCCUCGGACGCCUUCUUUGGGGUUCGGGAUAUGUAUCCGGUCCUGGCGAUGCGCCAUACUUCGGCUCCGUCCACUUGAUAUAUAGACCCCUUUUCAGAACGGAGCACCAGGCAGAAUAACCUCUUCCACAACGCGAAAUGAGCCUCCACGCCUAAAAAUAGCUCGCAAAGGGUGACGACACCUGCGAUGUGCAAUAAGGAGGCGGGCAUGAGAUGGUGCAGCUGGAGGCCGUAGAACUCCAGAAGCCCGCGGAGAAACGGGUGAAUUGGAAAUCCCAGUCCCCUUAUUAGAUAGGGGACGAGGCACACCCGCUCUCCUUUAGAAGGAUUGGGGGUGCUCUCUGCUUGUUUUCCGCCAUUAUAGGUGGCGAGACCGGCUCGGACCGGGACCAUGUAUGCCUGAGGGAGGAAUCCCUUGGCCUGAAGUGACGCUAACUUGCUAUGCGGGAUGGUGCAACUCUCCCAGUCCCCGGGUUUGGGACCAGAGGGGCGAGGGGAGGAGCUGUGACGGCUGGUCAUGUUGGAAUAGACCUUUGCUGGAAGCGCUCUGAUGAUAACUCGCGGAGAGGAGAAGAUGUGGUUUGGACCUAAAUCCCCAUCCCGUUAAAUAGGCGGCUCGUUUAUACGGCUAGCAAUGUGGAUGUAAAAACGCCCCCGCUUUUCGCAUUUGUUUGAACACGUGGAAGACGGCCAUUAUUGGGCAUGGAAGCCGAGGAGGACUACAUUACAGAAAUCGGACAUUAUUCCUACAGGUACGCAAGAUUUGGAGAAGAACCCGCCUUGCAAUGCCGAACAAAUCUGUGCGCCGGACUCAUCGUCAUUGAAGCCUGGUUCGGGGGCUACUGAGGGAGUCCUGGAUUAGGGGGUGUUCGGGUAGCCGGACUAUACCUUCAGCCGGACUCCUGGACUAUGAAGAUACAAGAUUGAAGACUUCGUCCCGUGUCCGGAUGGGACUUUCCUUGGCGUGGAAGGAAAGCUUGGCGAUGCGGAUAUUCAAGAUCUCCUACCAUUGCAACCGACUCUGUGUAACCCUAACCCUAUCCGGUGUCUAUAUAAACGGGAGGGUUGUAGUCCGUAGGCAAUUGACUCCAUACACAACAAUCAUGCCAUAGGCUAGCUUCUAGUGUUUAGCCUCCUUGAUCUCACGGUAGAUCUACUCUUGUACUACCCAUAUCAUCAAUAUUAAUCAAGCAGGAGUAGGGUAUUACCUCCAUCGAGAGGGCCCGAACCUGGGUAAAACAAAGUGUCCCCUGUCUCCUGUUACCAUCCGGCCUAGACGCACAGUUCGGGACCCCCUACCCGAGAUCCGCCGGUUUUGACACCGACAGGAAGGAAAAGGCCCCAUAUAGUCAAAUCCCCAAACAUCAAAUGGUUCAAUAACGAGUGAAUAGUUCAUAGGAAUUUCUUGACGUCUACUAAUAUUACCAAUUCUUUGACAUUCAUCACAAGAUAAGACAAACUUGCAGGCAUCCUUGAAGAGAGUAGGCCAAUAAAAACCAGAUUGUAAUACAUUAUGUGCAGUCCUAUCUCCAGCAUGGUGUCCUCCAUAAGCUUCAGAGUGACACUUGCGUAGGAUCUAUUCAUGUUCAUGCUCAGGUACACAACAUCUAAUAACACCAUCUACUCCUUCUUUAUAAAGAUGUGGGUCAUCCCAAAAGUAAUGCCUCAAAUCAUAGAAGAACUUUUUCUUUUGCUGGUAUGUGAAUCUAGGUGGUAUAAAUUUAGCAACAAUGUAAUUAGCAUAAUCAGCAUAACGUGGAGCAGUAUGAGAAGCAUUUAUGACAUUUAAUUGCUCAUCAGGAAAGAUAUCAUCAAUAGGUAGUGGGUCAUCAAGCACAUUUUCUAACCUAGACAAGUUGUCCGCAACGGGGUUCUCAGCUCCCUUUCUAUCAACAGUAUGUAAGUAAAAUUCUUGUAGCAAGAGAACCCAUCUAAUAAGUCUAGGUUUAGCAUCUUUCUUUUUCAUAAGAUAUUUAAUAGCAGCAUGAUCAGUGUGAAUAGUUACUUUAGAGUCAACAAUAUAAGGUCUGAACUUAUCACAAGCAAAUACAACUGCUAAGAAUUCUUUUUCAGUAGUAGCAUAAUUUCUUUGAGCAUUGUCUAGGGUUUUACUAGCAUAUUGAAUAACGUUUAAUUUCUUAUCAACUCUUUGCCCUAGAACAGCACCUACAGCAUAAUCACUAGCAUCACACAUAAUUUCGAAGGGUAAAUUCCAAUCAGGUGGCUGAACAAUAGGUGCAGAGAUCAAUGCUUUCUUAAGUAUUUCAAAUGCUUCUACACAAUCAUCAUCAAAGACAAAUGGUAUAUCUUUUUGUAAUAAAUUAGUCAGAGGCCGAGAAAUUUUGGAGAAGUCCUUAAUGAACCUCCUAUAAAAACCGGCAUGACCAAGGAAACUUCUUAUACCUUUGAUGUCCUUGGGACAUGGCAUCUUUUCGAUAGCAUUAACCUUGGCUUUAUCAACUUCAAUACCUCUUUCAGAAACUUUAUGCCCCAAGACAAUACCUUCAUUAACCAUAAAGUGGCACUUUUCCCAACUCAAGACAAUAUUAGUUUAUUCACAUCUCUGCAAAACUCGAUCAAGGUUGCUUAAGCAAUCACCAAAAGAAGAUCCAUAGACGGAGAGAUCAUCCAUGAAAACCUCACAAAUCUUUUCACAAAAGUCAGAGAAUAUAUCCAUCAUGCAUCUUUGAAAGGUAGCAGGUGCAUUACAUAAACCAAAAGGCAUACGUCUAUAAGCAAAAGUACCAAAAGGGCAAGUAAAAUUAGUCUUUGAUUGAUCCUUGGCUGAUACGGGUAUUUGAGAGAAACCAGAAUAACCAUCUAGAAAGCAAAAAUGAGUAUUUUUUUAUAAUCUUUCUAGCAUUUGAUCGAUAAAAGGUAAGGGGUAAUGAUCCUUUUUAGUGGCCUUAUUUAAUUUGUGGAAAUCAAUUACCAUCCUAUAACCUGUAAUAAUUCUUUGAGGAGUCAAUUCAUCUUUAUCAUUAGGAACGACAGUAAUACCUCCUUUCUUAGGGACACAAUGGACAGGACUUACCCACGGACUAUCAGCAACAGGAUAGAUUAUACCUGCCUCAAGGAGCUUUAGUAUUUCCUUUCUUACCACUUCUUUCAUUUUAGGAUUCAGCCGUCGUUGAUGAUCACGAACUGGUUUAGCAUCUUCUUCCAAAUUUAUUUUAUGUUGGCAUAGACUGGGACUAAUGCCCUUAAGAUCACCAAGAGUAUACCCAAUAGCAGCACGGUGCUUCUUCAGAGUUUUCAAUAGUCUCUCCUCCUCAUGCUCUGAAAGGUUAGCACUAAUAAUAACAUGAUAUAUCUUCCUCUCAUUAAGAUAAGCAUAUUUAAGAGUAUCAGGCAAUGGUUUAAGCUCAAACACGGGAUCACCCUUGGGUGGAGGAGGAUCCCCUAGGAUUUCAACAAGCAAAUUAUGUUUCAGAAUAGGUUCCUGUUUAAAGAAUACUUCAUCUAUUUCCCUUCUUUCAUUCAUAAACAUAUCAUUUUCAUGGUCUAAUAAAUAUUGUUCUAAAGGAUCACUACGAGGUACGCCAAUAGAAGCAAGACCAAUAAUUUCAUCCUUACUAGGCAAUUCUUCUUCACGGUGUUGUCUACUAAAUUUAGAGAAAUUAAAUUCAUGAGUCAUAUCAUCUAAACCGAUAGUAACAACAUCCCUUUUGCAAUCUAUGGUAGCAUUAACAGUGUUCAAGAAGGGUCUACCAAAUAUAAUGGGACAAAAGCUAUCUUGUGGGGAACCAAGAACAAGAAAAUCAGCAGGAUAUUUAGUUUUCCCACACAAGACUUCAACAUCUCUAACAAUUCCCAUUGGUGAAAUAGUAUCUCUAUUGGCAAGUUUAAUUGUGACAUCAAUAUCUUCUAACUCAACAGGUGCAAUAUCAUGCAUAAUUUCUUUAUAUAGGCUAAUAGGUAUUGCACUAGCACUGGCACACAUAUCACAUAAACCAUGAUAACAAUGAUCUCAUAUUUUAACAGAAAUAACAGGCAUGCCUACCACAGGUCUAGGUUUAUCUUUAGCACAAGGUUUAGCAAUUCUAGCAGUUUCAUCAUAGAAAUAAAUAACAUGCCCAUCAAUAUUAUGAGACAAGAGAUCUUUAACAAUAGCAAUAUCAGGUUCAACUUUAAUUUUCUUGGAAGGUGUAUAAAUUUUAUAUUGCUUUUACGAACCACAGUUAAAGCUUUAGCAUGAUCCUUUAUCCUAACAAGAAAGGGUGGUUUCUCAACAUAAGAAGUAGGAACAAUUGGAUCAUUAUAAGUGAUAAUAUUUUCUUCAACUUUAAUAGGUGCACCUACUUUUACUUCUAUGGGAGGAUGAUAUUUAAACCACUUCUCCUUGGGGAGAUCAACAUAAGUAGCAAAAGAUACACAGAAAGAAGCUACUAUCUCAGAGUCAAGUCCAUAUUUAGUGCUAAAUUUACGGAGAACAUCGGUAUCCAUAAAAGAUUUAACACAAUCAAACUUAGGUGUCAUACCUGACUCCUUCCCUUUGUCGAGGUCCCAAUCUUCAGAGUUGCGUUUAAUUCUUUCCAAUAAAUCCCAUUUGAAUUCAAUAGUCUUCAUCAUAAAAGAGCUAGCACAAGAAGUAUCAAGCAUGGUGCGAUUGCUAUCAGAAAGCUGAGCAUAAAAAUUUUGAAUAAUCAUUUCUCUUGAGAGCUCAUGAUUGGGGCAUGAAUAUGACAUUGAUUUAAUCCUCCCCCAAGCUUGAGUGAUGCUUUCUCCUUCGCGAGGCCAAAAACUAUAUAUAUAAUUGCGAUCACAAUGAACAAGAUGCAUAGGAUAAAACUUCUGAUGAAAUUCCAAUUUCAAUCGUUUGUAGUUCCAUGACCCCAUAUCAUCACAUAGCCUAUACCAUGUCGAUGCAUCUCCCUUCAAAUAUAAAGGGAAGACCUUCUUCUUAACAACAUCUUCGGGUACACCUGCAAGCUUAAAUAAUCCACAAACUUCAUCCACAUAAAUUAGAUGCUCAUCAAGAUGCUUUGUUCCAUCUCCUACAAAAGGAUUAGCUAGCAGUUUUUCUAUCAUACCCGAAGGAAUUUCAAAGCAAACAUUUUCAUUUUCAUUUUCAGUAGGUUGAGGAGAAACUCUUUGCUCUACUGGUCGUGGUGAAGAUACCCCAAACAAGCCCCUCAGAGAAUUACUUUCCAUAGUAACAAGUGACGGUAAAUUUCAUCACACUAUAUAAAUUUUUCCUUACCAAAUUCCACCUACCAAAGGCGCUUCACUCCCUGGCAACGGCACCAGAAAAGAGUCUUGAUGACCCACAAGUAUAGGGGAUCUAUCGUAGUCCUUUUGAUAAGUAAGAGUGUCGAACCCAACGAGGAGCAGAAGGAAAUGAUAAGCGGUUUCCAGCAAGGUAUUCACUGCAAGUACUGAAAUAAGUGGUAACAGGUAGUUUGGUGAUAGGAUAAGUUGUAACGAGCAACAAUUAACAAAAGUAAAUGAAGUGCAGCAAGGUGGCCCAGUCCUUUUUAUAGCAAAGGACAAGCCUGGACAAACUCUUACAUAGAGAAAAGCGCUCCCGAGGACACAUGGGAAUAUCCUCAAGCUAGUUUUCAUCACGUUCAUAUGAUUCGCGUUCGCUACUUUGAUAAUUUGGUAUGUGGGUGGACCGGUGCUUGGGUGCUGCCCUUACUUCGACAAGCAUCCCACUUAUGAUUAACCUCUAUUGCAAGCAUCCGCAACUACAACAAAAGUAUUAAGGUAAACCUAACCAUAGCAUGAAACAUAUGGAUCCAAAUCAGCCCCUGACGAAGCAAUGCAUAAACUAGGGUUUAAGCUUCUGUCACUCUAGCAACCGAUCAUCUACUUAUUACUUCCCAAUGCCUUCCUCUAGUCCCAAAUAAUGGUGAGGUGUCAUGUAGUCGACGUUCACAUAACACCACUAGAGGAGAGACAACAUACAUCUCAUCAAAAUAUCAAACGAAUACCAAAUUCACAUGACUACUAAUAGCAAGACUUCUCCCAUGUCCUCAGGAACAAACGUAACUACUCACAAAGCAUAAACAUGUUCAUAAUCAGAGGGGUAUUAAUAUGCAUAUAGGAUCUGAACAUAUGAUCUUCCACCAAAUAAACCAACUAGCAUAAACUACAAGGAGUAAUUAACACUACUAGCAACCUACUAGUACCAAUCCCGGACUUGGAGACAAGAAUUGGAUACAAGAGAUGAACUAGGGUUUUGAGAGGAGAUGGUGCUGAUGAAGAUGUUGAUGGAGAUUUGCCACUCCCGAUGAGAGGAGCGUUGGUGAUGACGAUGGCGAUGAUUUCCCCCUCCCGGAGGGAAGUUUCCCCGGCAAAACAGCUCUGUCGGAGCACUAGAUUGGAUUCGCCAAGGUUCCGCCUCGUGGCGGCGGAGUUUCGUCUGAGAAGAUGGCUUAUGACUUUUUUCCAUCGAAAUACUUCAUAUAGCAGAAGAUGGCUACCGGAGGGCCACCAGGGGGCCCACGAGGGUGGGGGCGCGCUGGGCGCGCCCCCUACCUCGUGGGCAGGGUGUGGCCCCCCUGGUGAACUUCUUCCGCUGAGUUUUUUUAAUAUAUUCUAAAAACAUCUUCCGUGAAGUUUCAGGACUUUUGGAGCUGUGCAGAAUAGGUCUCUAAUAUUUGCUCCUUUUCCAGCCCAGAAUCCUAGCUGCCGGCAUUCUCCCUCUUUAUGUAAAUCUUAUAAAAUAAGAUAGAAUAGGCAUAAGUAUUGUGACAUAAUGUGUAAUAACUGCCCAUAAUGCAAUAAAUAUCGAUAUAAAAGCAUGAUGCAAAAUGGACGUAUCAGGGCGACGCCAGAGGGAGGAGCGGCCAGGGAGAUUUUGUUGGGUAACGUAGCAGAAAUUCAAAAUUUUCCUACGUGUCACCAAGAUCUAUCUAUGGAGAAACCAACAACGAGGGGAAGGAGAGUGCAUCUACAUACCCUUGUAGAUCGCUAAGCGGAAGCGUUCAAGUGAACGGGGUUGAUGGAGUCGUACUCGUCGUGAUUCAAAUCACCGAUGAUCUAGUGCCGAACGGACAGCACCUCCGCGUUCAACACACGUACAACUUGACGAUGUCUCCCACGCCUUGAUCCAGAAAGGAGAGAGGGAGAGGUUGAGGAAGACUCCAUCCAGCAGCAGCACAACGGCGUGGUGGUGAUGGAGGAGCGUGGCAAUCCUGCAGGGCUUCGCCAAGCACCUACGGGAGAGGAGGAGGUGUCACGGGAGGGAGGGAGGCGCCAAGGGCUCAGGUAUGGAUGCCCUCCCUCCCCUCCACUAUAUAUAGGGGCAGGGGAGAGGGGGAAGGCGCAGCCUUGCCCCUUCCUCCAAGGAAGGGGUGCGGCUAAGAGGGGGGGAGGAGUCCAUCCUCCCCAUGGCACCUCGGAGGUGCCUUCCCCCUUUAGGACUCUCCCCUUUUUCCUAUAUCUUGGUGCAUGGGCCUCUAGGGGCUGGUGCCCUUGGCCCAUGUAGGCCAAGGCGCACCCCCUACAGCCCAUGUGGCCCCCCGGGGCAGGUGGCCCCACCCGGUGGGCCCCCGGGACCCAUCCGGUGGUCCCGGUACAAUACCGAUGACCCCGAAACUUGUCCCGAUGGCCGAAACAUGACUUCCUAUAUAUAAAUCUUUACCUCCGGACCAUUCCGGAACUCCUCGUGACGUCCGGGAUCUCAUCCGGGACUCCGAACAACAUUCGGUAACCACAUACAAUCUUCCUUUAUAACCCUAGCGUCAUCGAACCUUAAGUGUGUAGACCCUACGGGUUCGGGAGACAUGCAGACAUGACCGAGAUGUUCUCCGGUCAAUAACCAACAGCGGGAUCUGGAUACCCAUGUUGGCUCCCACAUGUUCCACGAUGAUCUCAUCGGAUGAACCACGAUGUCAAGGACUCAAUCGAUCCCGUAUACAAUUCCCUUUGUCUAGCGGUAUGGUACUUGCCCGAGAUUCGAUCGUCGGUAUACCGAUACCUUGUUCAGUCUCGUUACCGGCAAGUCUCUUUACUCGUUCCGUAACACAUCAUCCCGUGAUCAACCCCUUGGUCACAUUGUGCACAUUAUGAUGAUGUCCUACCGAGUGGGCCCAGAGAUACCUCUCCGUUUACACGGAGUGACAAAUCCCAAUCUCGAUUCGUGCCAACCCAACAGACACUUUUAGAGAUACCCGUAGUGUACCUUUAUAGCCACCCAGUUACGUUGUGACGUUUGGCACACCCAAAGCACUCCUACGGUAUCCGGGAGUUGCACAAUCUCAUGGUCUAAGGAAAUGAUACUUGACAUUAGAAAAGCUUUAGCAUACGAACUACAUGAUCUUGUGCUAGGCUUAGGAUUGGGUCUUGUCCAUCACAUCAUUCUCCUAAUGAUGUGAUCCCGUUAUCAACGACAUCCAAUGUCCAUGGUCAGGAAACCGUAACCAUCUAUUGAUUAACGAGCUAGUCAACUAGAGGCUUACUAGGGACAUGGUGUUGUCUAUGUAUCCACACAUGUAUCUGAGUUUCCUAUCAAUACAAUUCUAGCAUGGAUAAUAAACGAUUAUCAUGAACAAGGAAAUAUAAUAAUCAAUUUAUUAUUGCCUCUAGGGCAUAUUUCCAACAGUCUCCCACUUGCACUAGAGUCAAUAAUCUAGUUCACAUCGAUAUGUGAUUAACACUCAAGGUCACAUCCCCAUGUGACUAACACCCAAAGAGUUUACUAGAGUCAAUAAUCUAGUUCACAUUUACCAUGUGAUUAACACUCGAUGAGUUCUGGGUUUGAUCAUGUUAUGCUUGUGAGAGAGGUUAUAGUCAACGGGUCUGAACCUUUCAGAUCCGUGUGUGCUUUACAAAUCUCUAUGUCAUCUCCUAGAUGCAGCUACCACGUUCUAUUUGGAGCAAUUCCAAAUAACUGUUCUACUUGGAGCUAUUCUAAAUUGUUGCUCCAUUAUACGUAUCCGGUAUCUCUACUCAGAGCUAUCCGGAUAGGUGUUAAGCUUGCAUCGACGUAACCCUUUACGACGAACUCUUUUACCACCUCCAUAAUUGAGAAAAUUCCUUAGUCCACUAGUUACUAAGGAUAACUUUGACCGCUGUCCUGUGAUCCAUUCUUGGAUCACUCUUGUACCCCUUGACUGACUCAUGGUAAAGCACACUUCAGGUGCGGUACACAGCAUAUCAUACUGUAGAGCCUAUGUCUUAAGCAUAGGGGACGACCUUCGUUCCUUUCUCUCUAUUCUGCCAUGGUCGAGCUUUAAGUCUUAACUUCAUACCUUACAACUCAGGCAAGAACUCCUUCUUUGACUGAUCCAUCUUGAACACCUUCAAGAUCAUGUCAAGGCAUGUGCUCAUUUGAAAGUACUAUUAAGCGUUUUGAUCUAUCCUUAUAGAUCUUGAUGCUCAAUGUUCAAGUAGCUUAAUCCAGGUUUUCCAUUGAAAACACUUUCCAAAUAACCCUAUAUGCUUUCCAGAAAAUUCUACGUCAUUUCUGAUCAUUAAUAUGUCAACAACAUAUACUCAUCAGAAAUUCUAUAGUGCUCCCACUCACUUCUUUGGAAAUACAAGUUUCUCAUAAACUUUGUAUACACCCAAAAUCUUUGAUCAUCAUCAAAGCAUACAUUCCAACUCCGAGAUGCUCACUCCAGUCCUCAGAAGGAUUGCUGGAGCUUUGCAUACUUAUUAGCAUAUUUCAGGAUAGACAAAACCUUCCGGUUGUAUCACAUACAACCUUUCCUCAAGAAUCGUCGAGGAAACAAUGUUUUGACAUCCUAUUUGCAAGAUUUCAUAAAUAAUGCAGUAAUUGCUAAUAUAAUUCCAACAGACUCUUAGCAUCGCUACGAGUGAGAAAGUCUCAUCGUAGUCAACUCCUUGAACUUGUCGAAAAACAUCUUAACGACAAGUCGAGCUUUCUCAAUGGUGACACUUACCAUCAUUGUCUGUCUUCCUUUCAAAAUCCAUAUGUACCUAACAGCCUUACGACCAUCAAGUAGUUCUUCCAAAGUCUACACUUUGUUUUCAUACAUGGAUCCUCUCUCGGGUUUUUUAUGGCCUUGAGCCAUUUAUCGGAAUCCGGGCCCACCAUCGCUUCUCCAUAGCUCGUAGGUUCAUUGUUGUCUAGCAACAUGACUUUCAAGAUAGGAUUAUUGUACCACUCUGAAGUAGUACAUAUCCUUGUCACCCUACGAGGUUCGGUAGUGACUUGAUCUGAAGUUUCAUGAUCACUAUCAUAAGCUUCUACUUCAAUUGGUGUAGGUGCCACAGGAACAACUUCCUGUGCCCUGCUACACACUGGUUGAAGUGAUGGUUCAAUAACCUCAUCAAGUCUCCACCAUCCUCCCACUCAAUUCUUUCGAGAGAAACCUUUCCUCGAGAAAGGACCCAAUUCUAGAAACAAUUCAUAUUGCUUUCGGAUCUGAAUUAGGAGGUAUACCCAACUGUUUUGGGUGUCCUAUGAAGAUGUACUUUAUCCGCUUUGGGUUCGAGCUUAAUCCUGAAACUUUUUUCACAUAAGCGUCGCAGCCCCAAACCUUUAAGAAACGACAACUUAGGUUUCUCUAAACCAUAAUUCAUACAGUGUCAUCUCAUCGGAAUUACGUGAUGCCCUAUUUAAAGUGAAUGUGGUUGUCUCUAAUGCCUAACCCAUAAACUAUAGUGGUACUUCGAUAAGAGACAUCAUGGUAUGCAUCAUAUCCAAUAGGGUGCAACUAUGACGUUUGGACACACCAUCACACUAUGGUGUUCCAGGCUGUAUCAGUUGUGAAACAAUUUCCAUAAUGUCUUAAUUCUGUGCCAAACUCGUGAUUCAGAUAUUUAUCUCUAUGAUCAUAUCAUAGAUCUUUUAUCCUCUUGUCACGACGAUCUUUCAACUUCACACUGAAAUUACUUGAACCUUUCAAUAAUUCAGACUCGUGAUUCAUCAAGUAAAUAUACUCAACAUCUACUUGAAUCAUCUGUGAAGUAAGAACAUAACGAUAUUCACUGCAUGCCUCAGCACUCAUUGGACUGCACACAUCAAAAUGUGUUACUUCCAACAAGUUGCUAUCUUGUUCCAUCUUACUGAAAACGAGGCUUUUCAGUCAUCUUGCCCAUGUGGUAUGAUUUGCAUGUCCCAAGUGAUUCAAAAUCAAGUGAGUCAAAACGGUCCAUUUGCAUGGAGUUUCUUCAUGCAUACACACCAAUAGACAUGGUUCGCAUGUCUCAAACUUUUCAAAAACGAGUGAGCCCAAAGAUCCAUCAAUAUGGAGCUUCUUCAUGCGUUUUAUACCGAUAUGACUUACGUGGCAGUGCCACAAGUAGGUGGUACUAUCAUUACUAUCUUUUGGCAUGAACAUGUGUAUCACUACGAUCGAGAUUUAAUAAACCAUUCAUUUUAGGUGUAAGACCAUUGAAGGUAUUAUUCAAAUAAACAGAGUAACCAUUAUUCUCCUUAAAUGAAUAACCGUAUUGCGAUAGAUGUAAUCCAAUCAUGUCUAUGCUCAACGCAAACACCAAAUAACAAUUAUUUAGGUUUAACACCAAUCUCUUUGGUAGAGGGAGCGUGCGAUGCUUGAUCAUAUCAAGCUUGGAAAAACUUCCAACACAUAUCGUCAGCUCACCUUUAGCUAGUCUCCGUUUAUUCCGUAGCCUUUUGUUUCGAGUUACUAACACUUAGCAACCGAACUGAUAUCUAAUACCCUGGUGCUACUAGGAGUACUAGCAAAGUACACAUUAACACAAUGUAUAUCCAAUAUACUUCUAUCGACCUUGCCAGCCUUCUUAUCUACCAAGUAUCUAGGGUAAUUCUGCUCUAGUGGUUGUUCCCCUUAUUACAGAAGCACUUAGUCUCGGGUUUGGGUUUUACCUUGGGUUUCUUCACUAGAGCAGCAGCUGAUUUGCCGUUUCAUGAAGUAUCCCUUCAUGCCCUUGCCCUUCUUGAAACUAGUGGUUUCACCAACCAUCAACAAUUGAUGCUCCUUCUUGAUUUCUACUUUCGCGGUGUCAAACAUCGCGAAUACCUCAAGGAUCAUCAUAUCUAUCCCUGAUAUGUUAUAGUUCAUCACGAAGCUCUAACAGCUUGGUGGCAAUGACUUUGGAGAACCAUCACUGUCUUAUCUGGAAGAACAACUCCCACUCGAUUCAAAUGAUUGUUGUACUCAGACAAUCUGAGCACAGGCUCAACAAUUGAGCUUUUCUCCUUAGUUUGCAGGUUAAGAAAGUCAUCGGAGGUCUUAUACCUCUUGACAUGGGCACGAGCCUGAAAUCCAAAUUUCAGCCCUCAAAACAUCUCAUAUGUUUCGCGACGUUUCAAAAUGUCUUUGGUGACUCAACUCUAAACCGUUUAACUGAACUAUCACGUAGUUAUCAAAACGUGUAUGUCAGAUGUUCGCAACAACCACAGACAACGUUCGAGGUUCAGCACACUGAGCGGUGCAUUAAGGACAUAAGCCUUCUAUGAAGCAAUGAGGACAAUCCUCAGUUUACGGACCUAGUCCGCAUAAUUGCUACUAUCAACUUUCAACUAAUUUUUCUCUAGGAACAUAUCUAAACAGUAGAAAUAUAGCAUGAGCUACGACAUAAUUUGCAAAAUCCUUUUGACUAUGUUCAGGAUAAUUAAGUUCAUCUUAUGAACUCCCACUCAGAUAGACAUCCCUCUAAUCAUCUAAGUGAUUACAUGAUCCGAGUCAAACUAGGCCGUGUCCGAUCAUCACGUGAGACGGACUAGUCAUCAUCGGUGAACAUCUUCAUGUUGAUCGUAUCUUCUAUACGACUCAUGUUCGACCUUUCGGUCUCCGUGUUCCGAGGCCAUGUCUGUACAUGCUAGGCUCGUCAAGUUAACCCUAAGUGUUUCGCGUGUGUAAAUCUGUCUUACACCCGUUGUAUGUGAACGUUAGAGUCUAACACCCGAUCAUCACGUGGUGCUUCGAAACACGAACUAUCGCAAUGGUGCACAGUUAGGGGAGAACAUUUCUUGAAAUUGUUGUAAGGGAUCAUCUUAUUUACUACCGUCGUUCGAAGCAAAUAAGAUGUAUAAACAUGAUAAACAUCACAUGCAAUCAAAUAGUGACAUGAUAUGGCCAUCAUCACUUUUCUCCUUUUGAUCUCCAUCUUCGGGGCUCCAUGAUCAUCAUCGUCACCGGCAUGACACCAUGAUCUCCAUCAUCAUGAUCUCCAUCAUCGUGUCUUCAUGAAGUUGCCUCGCCAACUAUUACUUCUACUACUAUGGCUAACGGUUAGCAAUAAAGUAAAGUAAUUACAUGACGUUUAAGUUGACACGCAGGUCACAAAUAAAUAAAGACAACUCCUAUGGCUCCUGCCGGUUGUCAUACUCAUCGACAUGCAAGUCGUGAUUCCUAUUACAAGAACAUGAUCAAUCUCAUACAUCACAUAUAUCAUUCAUCACAUCCUUUUUUGCCAUAUCACAUCACAUAGCAUACCCUGCAAAAACAAGUUAGACGUCCUCUAAUUGUUGUUUGCAUGUUUUACGUGGCUGCUAUGGGUUUCUAGCAAGAACGUUUCUUACCUACGCAUGAACCACAACGUGAUAUGCCAAUUGCUAUUUACCCUUCAUAAGGACCCUUUUCAUCGAAUCCGAUCCGACUAAAGUGGGAGAGACAGACACCCGCCAGCCACCUUAUGCAACUAGUGCAUGUUUGUCGGUGGAACCGGUCUCACGUAAGCGUACGUGUAAGGUUGGUCCGGGCCGCUUCAUCCCACGAUGCCGCCGAAUCAAGAUAAGACUAGUAACGGCAAGCAUAUUGAACAAUAUCGACGCCCACAACUACUUUGUGUUCUACUCGUGCAAAGAAUCUACGCAAUAGACCUAGCUCAUGAUGCCACUGUUGGGUAACGUAGCAGAAAUUCAAAAUUUUCCUAUGUGUCACCAAGAUCUAUCUAUGGAGAAACCAGCAACGAGGGGAAGGAGAGUGCAUCUACAUACCCUUGUAGAUCGCUAAGCGGAAGCGUUCAAGUGAACGGGGUUGAUGUAGUCGUACUCGUCGUGAUUCAAAUCACCGAUGAUCUAGUGCCGAACGGACAGCACCUCCGCGUUCAACACACGUACAGCUCGACGAUGUCUCCCACGCCUUGAUCCAGCAAGGAGAGAGGGAGAGGUUGAGGAAGACUCCAUCCAGCAGCAGCACAACGGCGUGGUGGUGAUGGAGGAGCGUGGCAAUCCUGCAGGGCUUCGCCAAGCACCUACGGGAGAGGAGGAGGUGUCACGGGAGGGAGGGAGGCGCCAAGGGCUCAGGUAUGGAUGCCCUCCCUCCCCUCCACUAUAUAUAGGGGCAGGGGAGAGGGGGAAGGCGCAGCCUUGCCCCUUCCUCCAAGGAAGGGGUGCGGCUAAGAGGGGGGGAGGAGUCCAUCCUCCCCAAGGCACCUCGGAGGUGCCUUCCCCCUUUAGGACUCUCCCCUUUUUCCUAUAUCUUGGCGCAUGGGCCUCUAGGGGCUGGUGCCCUUGGCCCAUGUAGGCCAAGGCGCACCCCCUACAGCCCAUGUGAUCCCCCGGGGCAGGUGGCCCCACCCGGUGGGCCCCCGGGACCCAUCCGGUGGUCCCGGUACAAUACCGAUGACCCCGAAACUUGUCCCGAUGGCCGAAACAGGACUUCCUAUAUAUAAAUCUUUACCUCCGGACCGUUCCGGAACUCCUCGUGACGUCCGAGAUCUCAUCCGGGACUCCGAACAACAUUCGGUAACCACAUACAAGCUUCCUUUAUAACCCUAGCGUCAUCAAACCUUAAGUGUGUAGACCCUACGGGUUCGGGAGACAUGCAGACAUGACCGAGAUGUUCUCCGGUCAAUAACCAACAGCGGGAUCUGGAUACCCAUGUUGGCUCCCACAUGUUCCACGAUGAUCUCAUCGGAUGAACCACGAUGUCAAGGACUCAAUCGAUCCCGUAUACAAUUCCCUUUGUCUAGCGGUAUGGUACUUGCCCGAGAUUCGAUCGUCGGUAUACCGAUACCUUGUUCAAUCUCGUUACCGGCAAGUCUCUUUACUCGUUCCGUAACACAUCAUCCCGUGAUCAACCCCUUGGUCACAUUGUGCACAUUAUGAUGAUGUCCUACCGAGUGGGCCCAGAGAUACCUCUCCGUUUACACGGAGUGACAAAUCCCAAUCUCGAUUCGUGCCAACCCAACAGACACUUUCAGAGAUACCCGUAGUGUACCUUUAUAGCCACCCAGUUACGUUGUGACGUUUGGCACACCCAAAGCACUCCUACGGUAUCCGGGAGUUGCACAAUCUCAUGGUCUAAGGAAAUGAUACUUGACAUUAGAAAAGCUUUAGCAUACGAACUACAUGAUCUUGUGCUAGGCUUAGGAUUGGGUCUUGUCCAUCACAUCAUUCUCCUAAUGAUGUGAUCCCGUUAUCAACGACAUCCAAUGUCCGUGGUCAGGAAACCGUAACCAUCUAUUGAUUAACGAGCUAGUCAACUAGAGGCUUACUAGGGACAUGGUGUUGUCUAUGUAUCCACACAUGUAUCUGAGUUUCCUAUCAAUACAAUUCUAGCAUGGAUAAUAAACGAUUAUCAUGAACAAGGAAAUAUAAUAAUAAUCAAUUUAUUAUUGCCUCUAGGGCAUAUUUCCAACAGAUUUGCCCCUACCCACCGGCCAUGUAGCCUAGCUAGACAGAGCAUCGUCGAGGACCGGGCAAGAUGGGACUGGUGGCGACGGCUCGCUGGAGGAACGCUAGUGUUGCAGGCAGGGGAUCGAGGUAGAGGGAAAGGGGAGAGGAGAUGAGAGCAGGCAGGGCAAUGAACGCUUGCGUGUUUGUUUUUACUUGAGUGUGAGGUGUGACGCGGGCGUUAGCAGUUGCAUUUUGAGUGUAAUAUAGGCAGACAACAGAGUCAUUUGACUAUUCCCCUUCCCUUCAAUUUUUAGUGAGGUUCUACCCGAAACACCCCCCUCCAAAGCGAAAUUAGUUAAGCCCAAGCCCAUAACUCAAAAAUGACUUCUUUACAUCUUUUGUGGCUUAUUUUGACAUUAAGCCCUGAAAAGGCAGAAUAGAGCUGGCCCUUAACCUGCAAUUCAAUUGUGCGUGCAAUGAUGAAUCACUCAUGCCUGCUAUAGUGUACAUUUAGGCAUCAUCAUACAUGGCAUAACAUAAUACAUGUGUAUUCCAUUGUAGAAUCUGGAAUAUGCAAUAUUUAUGUUAGUUCAUAUGUUGCACAUGAUGUUUAAAUGCCCCUUAAAUCUGGUCAGUCAAGUGAUGGUCUUUAAACCUCCUUCUUUGCUUCUUUUCUUGAUAUGUAACAUUUGCUCACACAUCUGUUCAAUUGCUUGUUUGCAUCACCCAGCCAUACUAGGACUGUUUGCUUUGAUUACUUAUUGUUCUUGACCUAACACUCUAACAGAGCUUGCCAAUGAUUUAAACACUAAGGGCUGUUGUAGUGGGGCCUUUCUAACUCAUAGGUGACAUAAAGGUUUGGUUGUACACUAAAGUAGGCUCUCCAAGAUUGCCUGGAGAUCCAGUUCGAAGGUAUGCCUAGUUUUUACAUAGUGCAGACAUAGUAAAUACUCAUUUCAUUGUGUGCAAGUGCAAGAGAUGCGGCAUGUUUCAUUAUAUGGUGUUGUUUUGUUAUAAUCUCAUCCUUUUGUGUUCACAGACUGGAAAGUAUGCAUAUUUAUCUUCCAAGGAGACGAGUAACAAGUUUGUGUCACCUUGCAGAGGGGGUGCGAUGAAGAUAAGAUUGAGGAUUUCGAAGUACAAGAUGUUAGGAAGGAGUCUUGCAAGAGAAGUAGGAGUUGCGCCUGAGCCUCUUCAACCUGUUAAGGUAAGUCACUGUAUCCAACUCAACAGUUCAAUUCCUUGUUUGUUUCAGGCAUAGUUAAUUUGCUCUUUUCAAUUGCUUUAUUUGUUCUCAGUUAAUGAGAUGCCCAAAUAAUGAUGCCUCAUGUUGGGUACUUGUAUAACUAUUAGUUGACAUAAUUAAAGGCCUUACCAUUUAAUUACUCUGCCAAAGUGUGCCUGAAGCUUUGAAGUCUAUUAACCAACUAUUAUUGCAUGAGGCUCACAAUCUAGUUUAUACUAGGCUAAUGAUUGCAUAGUUUUGCUUGUUGUAGUAUGUUUGUAUGAAACCCUCUGCUGUUCAUUAUGCUUCCUAAGACUUUAAUUGAGCUACAUAAUGGCCAACUGCUUGCUUACUUCUACGCAAUAUGCUGUCUAAAUUUGUAACUUGUCUGUGUUUUGGAUUGGGCCCAACAUCAUGCUCCUCUGGUGAGCUAAGAGAGAUUUCUGUAUGCAGGUUGCACAGACUAACUUUUUAUAUUUUUAAAAUAUCAUCUACUUAUGCUUCAUGAUGUGUAACAUUAUUGUUAGUCUUGUUUUGCCAUGUACAAAAUAGUCUGUCUUGCUCUCUUCACUGUUGUAACUAUAUUUUUUCCCUAGUCAUGUGUACUUACAGAAACAUUUCAGGAUGAAGUGACAUCAACACAAAGAUCUGCGAGCAGUGCAGCAUGGCUGUUCCCGAAUGGUUAUGGAUUGGAAUUGGAAUGUGCUGAUGUUCUCGAGCAUCAACUAGAGGUGGCAAGACAACGUGUACAUGAUUCUCAACGUACAAUCAACAAGUUGAGACUGGACAUGCAGGUAUUAGAUGCAGGAGUCAAAAAAAUGAAACAAGACACUGAGGUAACAACGAAGGAAUUGAAGAUUUUGCAGACUGAAAUUUGUGCUAUCUAAAUCUGGCCAAUCCUAUUUUCUGAAGAGAUUAUAGUUCAAAUAGUAAGUUAUGUUGAUGCGCGUCCAUGAUGUAGGAGUUGUAUUUACCCAAUGUAUGUAAUUUGCUAUUUGUGUAUGCUUUAUUAUCACUGGUGCCGAACCAUAAUGCCCAGUGGGUAUAAUCGGCUGUAAUUUCUUUAUUGUAUAGUGUAGGAUUAUUCUAUGUUUCUAUGCCUUAGUCUCUUUAUUGUAUAGUGUAUGUUUUUUAGAUGUGAUAGUAUAGAGUAGGAUAAUUCUUUGAAUAUGCUAUAUCGUUCAAACGGGGGCCAACUCGCCCAAACAUUGUAGUGACCAUAGCCCUCCACAGGUCGUACGAUCCAUGGGCCAUCUACGGGGCGGACGAUCCAUGGCCUUCUAUGGCCGUCGGAUCCAGGGGCCUUCUAUGGGCCGUCAGAUCAAUGAGCCUUCUAUGGGCCGUCGGAUCAAUGGGCCUUCUACGGGCCGUCUCAUCUAUGGGCCUUGUACGGGCCGUAUAAGGGGCCGUAAACGGGCUAGAGUGGAAAUCAUACAUUUUAUGGGCUGAUCAUAACGGGCCGUUAAUAGGCCGUAUUUGAUGAUGCUAUGAAAAUGGCCUAACAGAUUAACGGGCCACAAAUGAGCCGACUGUAUCCACGGGCUGAAUUUGGCCCACAAGCAAAAAAGGCCAGUAACAAGCUGUAAGUAACCUAAUACUGGAAAUGAGCCCAAGAAUAAAUGGGCCUUGACAAGGCCGAAAGGCAACAUGGGCGGGAAAUGACCCACUGGAAUAAUGGGCCGCUAAUGGGUAUAAAGCGAUACACUGUUCAUUACGGGCCGGUUUCACCACGGGCCAUUAAUGGGCCAAGAGUUACAAAGGGACUCAUAUGGGCCGCAAUACGUCAUGGGCCAUACAUGGGCCGGAAGUUACAACGGGUUAGAAUCAUAUUGGACGGCCCAGAUGACGCUACUGGGCCUAAUUCCGGUAGGCCGUAACGGGUCGUGAGUUAGCGGGCUGUAAAUGGGCUAUAUGUGAACAUGACGUUAACAGGCUUUCCGUGGGCCGGCCGCCACCUUUUGACCAAGUCAAACAGGCCGGCCUUUUCACAGGAAUGGGUCUCUGUUGGGCCGUGCCACGUGUCGACGUAUCAUAGGCGCCUUGGGUCCAAUGAGUGGAUGACAUCUGUCCCAACGGUGAGCGGACACGUGUUUCCUCCAGCCAUUGAUGAUUUACACGUGGAAAAUCCCCAUUGGUCGGGGCUGUUAACGGGUUAUCGGAUCCAAAAUCGGACCCGGUAGCUUAACAACGUUCCGUUAUGGUGGAUGCCACGUGUCGGUCCCCCUUGAGGAAAGCACUUCUACGACGCGCGAUUUAUCGUCAUGGAAAUGGACACUUCAGUGAUGAUAAUUUUGGUAAUGUCAUGGAACACUUAUACGACAGCACAGGUAUGACUAUCUUAAUUCUUUCAUAAAAUCGUCAUGGAUGUACAUGCAUGACAAAAAACGCGACCUACUAUGACAAACAUGUAUCAUCACGGAAGUAUAUUUUUUUGUAGUGUACGACGAAGACGUAUCAAUCAUCACCAAAUUGUCAUCAAUGAAAUAAGACAGAACACCAUAGGCCAUCAUGCACAAAGCGACAAUAACCUUCUGCUCGGUGCUAUGUCCAAAUAAACCAGCAUAAUUCCUUCUCUACUCAAAGGAUCGAUCAUGCUGCUUCACGGAAUUGCAAAUCUGGAUGAACAAAUAUUUGGACAUUUUGAGGCGGCGACGAAAGUACCUCUUUGAAAAAACGGACGAUGUGUACUAAAAUAGUUGUGGAUAAACCUCUCAUGCACCUUAACCCAUUCUCUCCGGAUGAACUCACGGCCAAACACGGAACUACCGUGCUUCGGCUUCUUCCACUUGUGCAAUGCCACUAAUAUAGCAAUGUUCUCUUCUUCGAUCGGGUCAAAUUCCUCAUCCGACGAGGAAUCAUCCAUGAAAGAGAAAUAGCAUGAGCUCAUAUACAAUACAGAAAUCACCGUCAAACUACAUCUUCAUGCCCGAUAAAAAAACUUCCUACUUUGCAUGUUUUUUUACCUUGAGGAAUUUGCUCGAACAUGUUCCAAGUGAGGUGGAAGCAAUCGGCCGACGGCGGGUCGGGGCGUGGGCGGGGCUACAGACUGCAGAUGGCAGGGGGUGGCGGCUGCAGUUGGCCUCUGGACGGCCGCCUAGCUGCUAGAGGACCUGCUCGCAGCGACGCAUCGGCGGGGGCAAUAAACGAGAAACCGUUGGCUCGGGCGGUUGCGGUGGUCGCGCGACAGUCCCUUUUUAGCCCCGGCGGCUGGUAACUGCUACAAGAAGGUGGCCGAUAGGUUCUACAGCCAUUACGGCCGACGAAGCUCCGGCGAAUUUCCAAAUCGGUCGUGCGGUCAUCGGCGGGGAGGAAUUAGAUCGGCAUCGGCUACAUUGGUGCAGCCGGCGUGGGGAUAGGCGGCGGGGUCGGGGAUGGGCCGACAGGUGGCGGCGGUGCGUUUUCGGGCGUAAAUCGCCAACGGGCGGGCGGACGAAAGUGAAAUGAAGGGCCGUUGGGCGGUUGAUGUGCCACUGCAGUUUUACAUCACCUGGAGGUGGAGAUGCAUCUCCAAGUGUUAUAUUUUACAGCACUUGGAGGAGGUGAUGUAUUUUAUUUUAUUUUUGGGAAACGUUUCCACCCGGUGCGCUGGCCGAAAUGUUGGUUCGGAUGCACGCAGACGUUAGACAUGGUGGGGCCAGGCGGUGCUUUUUCUUCUCCCGAUCCCCUUGUCUCUUCCAGCUUUCAUGCCCAGCACACAGAGUGUUCGCUCUCCUCCACUCAUUCCCCUUCCUUCCUCCAUCUUCUUUUUCCCUUCCACCUUUCCAUGCCGGAGCACAAGUCAAGGACAUUGCCUCUUUUUUCACUGCUGGCCAAGACCGUCCUGAGUUGCCACCGGCAAAAUAGAGGAGUGGCGGUGCUGCAGAUUUGGAGCAGAAAGAGCGGUGUUGUGGAGACAACUCUGCGAUGCGGGGCGGGGAGAAGAGUUGCAAGUUUCUGCAACAUGUGGAGCUGGAAGCUCAACUGGCAGGCGCGCGACCACGCCGGUGACUCCUCGAUGUUGUAACUGGCGGUGUUGAAAGCUUCUACCAGCGUGCAAAAGAGCUACAACCGGCAACGACGAAAGCUGCAAUCGGGCGGCCAUGCCGACCACGUCGGUGACCACCGAUGUUGCAACUGGCGGAGCUAAAAGCUUCUACCGACGAGCUAAAAAGCUACGACCGGCAACAACAAAAGCUGCAUCACCAAAAGCUGCAACCGGCAGUGAACCAUGGCCGGGGACGGCGUCCACAGGAUGCUACGUGCAGCGACGCGUGGACGCUGCAACGACCAGAAUAAGAUGCUGGAACCGUCUAUUCAAAAAGCUUCCACCGACAAAAAGGAAAGCUACUACCGAGGCAGCUGCUACAACCCGGCGACAACUGAGUGCUGCCGAGGAAGCUUCAACCGGCGUCACAAAAAGCAUCAACCACGACGACAUAUGCCGGGGCUGGCUACUGCCAAUACCAAAAAAGCUACAACCAACGUCCCAAAAAGCUCCAACCACGACCAUGGAUGCUAGCCCUGGCCACUGCCACAUGAAAAAGCUGCAAGGGACGAGAAAGAAAACUACAAUCGGCGUCGCAAAAAGCUACAACCAACGACGGCGGAAAGCUAUGGCUGGGCGUUGACAAAAGCUGCAAGCGCCCCUGAGAAAACUUCAACCGGCGAACGAGGGAGCUACAUCCACACCCUGGAGAUGCUGGAACCGGUCUUCAGGGAUGCUACUACGGAAUAUGCUGGAGCCGGUAUGCUACAACCGUGACUUGAAGAAGCUGGAACCGGCUUGUGUGGAUGCUACAACCAUGGUUGGAUGAGCGGACCAGCGAGCUGAUGUGUGGAUGUGGCGACGAGCGCACCGGCGAGCUACUUCCAUCACUAGUCGCAUGGGUGAAACCGGCGGCGAGGACGGCCGGUGAGGGUGGCGACCAGCGCCAAGGACGGCCGGCGAGGGUGGCGGCCGGCAACGAGGACGGGCCGGCGAGGGCGACGUCCACAGAAGGUGUGACCUGGCGAGAUGAGGGGACCGACAAGAUGUGGGGGACCAUUCGUACGAACUCAUGAAGAAGACGCAGUGGACGGUUACGAUCCACGAAAUCGGACGGCUGCGGGCCGACUGGCCCAAAUUUGGACCGGUGCGUCGGCGUCUAUCACUGGCCUUUAUUUUUUACAUCUACAUCAUCUGUUGGAGGUGUUUUUUUGCCUAGGAGAUGUAUAAGUUUUUUUUUGAAACAAGAUAGAAGAUGUAUAAGUUAGUUAUUUAUAAAAUACAUCUACAUGGUGUAUUGGAGAUGUUCUUAACAGCCGCAUGCAGCUAAUUAACCAAACAUGCAUGCAUGCUGACUGCUCAUCGGUGCACCCGCUCCAUCUCUAAACAGCUUGCCAAAUCACUCUAACACGAAUCGUAAUGACUUGAUGCAAACACUGAUGCAAACUAGCUAACACACUCAUAGAGCACGCGCAUGUGUGUAGAACCAAUAUCAAGAUUAGUGCACUAUAGACAAGUUCGAAACAAGGGUCUCAACUCCAUUCCAGAAAAGAAAAACAAGGGUCUCAACUCCGUUCCAGAAAAGAACACAACAAAAUUUGCUAAACUCAUUCGCGAGGUUGCUGGUCUUGCCCGACGCACUGCUUUGUUCAUCGUGACGACACGGACCCAAGCGAAUCAUCUAACCAUGCAUAAACCUGGGAACAGUUUGGACACAAACCACAAUUUCAAAUCGGUUUUCCUAUUGGUCUCUUUUGGUUUCGAUUAAAUGGGCCGAGCUCCUAAUGUAAGCUGGUUUGGUUUGGGCUUUUCCUAUUAUCGGUUCAGUCUGGUUCGGUCUGGUCACAGAACAAACAGUCUCAAACCAUUCUAACCCAUGGACGGAGAACUAAAUCAGGGACCAGGUUAGGGUCCCGAUCAAAGCAAUCACCCUUGUUUUUGCCGGGAAAAGCAAUACCCAUUGGCAACGUCUUCCUUGUCGUCUCCACUACUGGUGCCGAUGAUGAUGCUCCUGCUCGCCAUGUCACGUCCAUGCUCUAGUAGAGACACAAACCAGCAUCGACCAGGUUCUGGCGGCCUCGUCCCGCACGCCUCCGCCUGCUACGCCAUGGCCACCGCUGGCUGCUCCUCCUUGGCGACAUGGAGCCUUGCACAGUGCCGCGGUGACGUCGCGCGGUAGGACUGCAUGCUCUGGUUGGCCGUGGCGGUGCGGACACGGGCUACAUGCUCAGCCUUCUCAACACCCAGAACGCCACCGGCAUGGGCUGAUGUAUCUGGUGGCGUUCAACCAAGCGCAAUGAAGCUCAUGUCCAACGACUCCGGUGACGGUGCGAACAAGGGGCUGGCGAUGGGCAUGGCGCAGCUCGGUGGCGGCGGAGGCGGUGGCGAACUGCAGGCUGUGUGUGGCGCAGGCCGUGGCCGAACUGCUCAACUACUGCCAGACAGUGUGAUAUACAACAGUCACAUGGCGCCCUACGAGGUGCCCCUUCUUCCCGCUCGACGGCGCCGGCGAGUUGGCCGACGAGGUCGGACAGUGCGAACAAGAUCGUCUUAUACCGCGAUGGACGGAGUGCAGCUAGUCAUAUAUAGUACUCCCUCCGUUCCUAAAUAUUUGUCUUUUUAGACAUUUCAAAUUACUACUACAUACGAAUGUAUGUAGACAUAUUUUAGAGUGUAGAUUCACUCAUUUUGCUCCGUAUGUAGUCAUUUGUUGAAAUGCCUAGUAGACAAGUAUUUAGGAACGGAGGGAGUAUCUAGCAUUAUAGCUUGUUCUAUGUACGUACGUUGUGGUGGUGAGUAACAUGCAGCAGCAGCUAAUCACCCUUCCAACGCCUCUCUUCCCAUAGUAAUUGGACACGCCCUUGGUUUGAAACUUCAGAUUGAAAUUGUAUGUGGGGACUGGGUUGGAUGGGUUUGGCUUGAAAAUACGUACAGUUUGGAUUGGUUUGGAUUAUAGCAUUUGCAGUUUGGUCUGGUCUGGUCUGAUUGUUGGACUUAUACUUGUAUGGAUUGGGCUGGGUUUAAUCUGGAUUACAAACUAUUCCCAGGUUUA
rnacentral:lncRNA from 1 species